UACGUAGGGUGCAAGCGUUGUCCGGAAUUAUUGGGCGUAAAGAGCUUGUAGGCGGUUUGUCGCGUCUGCUGUGAAAACCCCGAGGCUCAACCUCGGGCCUGCAGUGGGUACGGGGCAGACUGGAGUGGCGGUAGGGGAGAUUGGAAUUCCUGGUGUAGCGGUGGAAUGCGCAGAUAUCAGGAGGAACACCAAUGGCGAAGGCAGAUCUCUGGGCCGUAACUGACGCUGAGGAGCGAAAGCAUGGGGAGCGAACAGG
rnacentral:rRNA from 1 species